rnacentral:rRNA from 1 species
GAUGAACGCGUACGGCAGGCCUAACACGAUGCGAAGUCGAGGGCAUCAUGGCGUAGCAUACGCUGAUGGCGACCGGCGCACGGGUGCGUAACGCGUAUGGAACCUACCCACGCAGGGGGAUAACCCGCCGAAAGGCGGACUAAUACCCCAUGGUUCCCGACCCUGCCUGGGGUUGGGGGUAAAGCCUACGGGCGGCGGUGGAUGGCCCUGCGUGCCAUUAGCUGGCUGGUGGGUAACGGCCCACCAGGGCGACGAUGGCUAGGGGGUCUGAGAGGACGAUCCCCCACACUGGUACUGAGACACGGACCAGACUCCUACGGGAGGCAGCAGUGAGGAAUAUUGGUCAAUGGGCGGAAGCCUGAACCAGCCAUGCCGCGUGCAGGAUGACGGCCCUACGGGUUGUAAACUUCUUUUACAGGGGAAUAAAGUGAGUCACGUGUGAUUUUUUGCAUGUACCCUGUGAAUAAGCAUCGGCUAACUCCGUG